UACGUAGGGGGCAAGCGUUGUCCGGAUUUAUUGGGCGUAAAGAGCGUGUAGGUGGUUUGGUAGGUCCGUUGUGAAAACUCGAGGCUCAACCUCGAGACGCCGAUGGAAACCAUCAGACUAGAGUCCGGAAGAGGAGAGUGGAAUUCCUGGUGUAGCGGUGAAAUGCGCAGAUAUCAGGAGGAACACCGGUGGCGAAGGCGGGUCUCUGGGCCGAUACUGACGCUGAGGAGCGAAAGCGUGGGGAGCAAACAGG
rnacentral:rRNA from 1 species